AGCUGGUGAGUAGAGUCAGCAUCGCUCACUUUCGAGAGGGGAGCUGACAUUCCGCUGCCUCCGGGUGAAUGCAAGCAAUGGACAUUGAGAAGGUCAACUCCAUGGACUUUGGAGAAUUUGUGGAUGUGUUUGGGAACGUCAUUGAGAGAUGUCCUCUGAUUGCGGCUGCUGUUUGGUCCCAGCGUCCAUUCUCCAACUUGGAAGAUUUAGAGAAGCAUUUUUUUGCCUUCAUUGAUGCCCUUCCCCAGUCAGGCCGAGAGGGCAUCCUGCGCUGCCACCCGGACCUGGCGGGCCGCGAGCUGCAGCAGGGCACGCUCAGCGCCGAGUCUCGGCGGGAGCAGAGCGGCGCGGGCCUGACCAGCCUGGACGCGGACGAGCGGCUCCGGCUGGCGGAGCUCAACGCGCAGUACCGCGCGCGCUUCGGCUUCCCCUUCGUGCUCGCCGCGCGGCGGAGCGACCGGGCGGCCGUGCCCCGCGAGCUGGCGCGCAGGCUGCGCUGUCCGCCCGCGCAGGAGCUGCGCACCGCCCUGGCCGAGGUGAAGAAGAUCGGCCACCUGCGACUCGCCGACCUCCUGGGCGCCCACCCUGCCGGACUGUAGCGGCCGCGCGGGCGCGGCACCCGGCGCCGGUCGGGACGCGCUGGGACGCGAGGGGCGCAGGCCCGGAACGGCGUCCCCACGCGCACAGAGGGAGGGGAGGACCGGGGCCAUCGUGCCCUUUUGUCCAUCCACCCACGUGCACACGCUUUGCCAAAAUAUACAGAAAAGGAAUCUUUUUAUGCCACUGCGGUUUGUCUGUUUUUUCUUCUCCCACCUCAUUUGCUGUGUCCGACCUUUACAUGUGAGCAGACGUAGUUUUCUCAUUCUGGGGCGCCUACGGGAGCCGGAGCCGGAGCGAGAAAAGCAAAGUACUGGUUUGGAUCCUCCCCAGGCGGGGAAGCCGCGGGUGGGGGUCGCUGGGCGGGAGGGAGCCUCGAGAUGGGCCAACUUUGGGGAGGCGGCCGUGGGGGCAGGCGGAGUAGCUGCCUUAGUCGCCCUUGAGAGAGGGUAGGGAAUGGGGGUGUCUCCAAGGUGGACGAGCCUGAAAGUCGGGAGCCGGCGGCCUCUGGGACCCUCCCACAGGUCGCCCCUCACCUUGGGACUCUCCCAGAGACCGGGCCUUUAGAGUUGGAUUGACAGA